AUCCGAUAGAAGAAUUCAUUUACAGUAUUGACAUUAAUCAAGAGUGCUGGCUGAUGCAACAUUCAACAUGAUUUCAAUUGGAUUCAAUCAACAUUCAAUAGGAUUCCAAUCAACUGAACAAUAGAACUAGUGAUUAUUCGCAGCCUUACCGACUAACCAAUACAAGAAUUCAUUUACAGUAUUGAUAUUCUGAUCAAGAUUGCUGGCUGAUGCAAUAUUCAAUUAGAAUUUGAUCAUUUUUCAAUAGGAUUUCAAUCAACUGAACAAAAGAACUGUUGAUUAUUAUUUGCAGCCUCUGCGGUAAUCCAGCAUUGAAUUUGAUAUAAAUACGGCAACCUCGACACUCAAAAAGUAAGAAGUUCCUGAGAUUGUCGUGCAGAUCCACAACAUUGACAGAUCGUAUCUUCAAUACUAUCAUCACUAUGAAGUUCUUCUACGUAGUUUUCGUAGCAGCUGCGUUGGCCGUAAUGUGUCUCAUGUCUCCCACUCAAGCCAGUCCAAAGCCCAGAGAAAUACACGGCAAAUGAUUCCCUAAUUUUGAAAUUGUUUCAAUGCUUGAACUUGUUUUGUGUGUGUGUUUGAUUGAAACAAUGUAAUAAAAUCAAUUGUCAAUUGAGAAA